GGCUGUUCUGGUGGCCUAGUGGUUAAAGAGUCUGCCUCAGAUGUGGGAGGUCCUGGGUUUGAUCCCUGGCCAAGUCA